GACGAACGCUGGCGGCGUGCCUAAUACAUGCAAGUUGAGCGCUGAAGGUUGGUGCUUGUACCCACUUGAAGAGCAGCGAACGGGUGAGUAACGCGUGGGGAAUCUGCCUUUGAGCGGGGGACAACAUUUGGAAACGAAUGCUAAUACCGCAUAACAACUUUAAACAUAAGUUUUAAGUUUGAAAGAUGCAAUUGCAUCACUCAAAGAUGAUCCCGCGUUGUAUUAGCUAGUUGGUGAGGUAAAGGCUCACCAAGGCGAUGAUACAUAGCCGACCUGAGAGGGUGAUCGGCCACAUUGGGACUGAGACACGGCCCAAACUCCUACGGGAGGCAGCAGUAGGGAAUCUUCGGCAAUGGACGAAAGUCUGACCGAGCAACGCCGCGUGAGUGAAGAAGGUUUUCGGAUCGUAAAACUCUGUUGGUAGAGAAGAACGUUGGUGAGAGUGGAAAGCUCAUCAAGUGACGGUAACUACCCAGAAAGGGACGGCUAACUACGUG
rnacentral:rRNA from 1 species